rnacentral:rRNA from 1 species
UACAGAGGUCCCAAGCGUUGUUCGGAUUCACUGGGCGUAAAGGGUGCGUAGGUGGUGAAGUAAGUCGGAUGUGAAAUCUCCAAGCUCAACUUGGAAACUGCAUUGGAAACUACUUUGCUAGAGGAUUUGAGGGGGGAUUGGAAUACUUGGUGUAGCAGUGAAAUGCUUAGAUAUGACACAGAACACCGAUUGCGAAGGCAGCUCACUAAACUGUUACUGACGCUGAGGCACGAAAGCGUGGGGAUCAAACAGG